CACCCCCAGUUAAACUUCAUCAUCCAGGCAUCUUCAGACUCCUCUUACUGCUUCUGCUGGUUCAGAUGGUAACUCUGGCAUCUGGGGAAGUCAGGUCUUUCUCAUAACCUAAAAGGCUACUGGAAAGACCAUGGAAACAACAGUUUGCUGUACUGGAUUUGUUUCACCCUGAAUGAUCAUUAAGACCCACAUCUUCAAAGGAAUUAUACCUCACUGAAGUGCAACUGUUUCCUGGAUACAAGGUGACUCUUGGAGUGGGAAAWGUUUCACCAAGCACAACCAGGACGGAGUCAUGCUUGUAAGAAAACUCAGGUCUAAUUCAUCAAGGCCACAUGAUGGACAUACUGGCUUGCUCCUUUCUGUGGAAUAUCCACUGCUGUCCCUGUAAAGUCAGUGUACUGCUUUGGCUGUUCCAGGACUUCAUUAUCUGUAGAUACUGUUUGGGUAUGGAAACUUUGCUGYGGCUGCAGGAAAAGACUACUAUUUAAGGUAUAUUCUUAACUACU
rnacentral:lncRNA from 1 species